GUCUCGGUAGUCUAACGGCUUAGGACGCUCGCACGGAAUGCAAGAGAUCCGGGUUCGACUCUCGGCCGAAGCA
rfam:Trachymyrmex septentrionalis contig13069, whole genome shotgun sequence.